UUUGAUCCGGCUCAGAUUGAAUGCUGGCGGCAGGCCUAACACAUGCAAGUCGAGCGGAAACGAGUUAUCUGAACCUUCGGGGAACGAUAACGGCGUCGAGCGGCGGACGGGUGAGUAAUGCCUAGGAAAUUGCCCUGAUGUGGGGGAUAACCAUUGGAAACGAUGGCUAAUACCGCAUAAUGCCUACGGGCCAAAGAGGGGGACCUUCGGGCCUCUCGCGUCAGGAUAUGCCUAGGUGGGAUUAGCUAGUUGGUGAGGUAAGGGCUCACCAAGGCGACGAUCCCUAGCUGGUCUGAGAGGAUGAUCAGCCACACUGGAACUGAGACACGGUCCAGACUCCUACGGGAGGCAGCAGUGGGGAAUAUUGCACAAUGGGCGCAAGCCUGAUGCAGCCAUGCCGCGUGUGUGAAGAAGGCCUUCGGGUUGUAAAGCACUUUCAGUCGUGAGGAAGGUAGUGUAGUUAAUAGCUGCAUUAUUUGACGUUAGCGACAGAAGAAGCACCGGCUAACUCCGUGCCAGCAGCCGCGGUAAUACGGAGGGUGCGAGCGUUAAUCGGAAUUACUGGGCGUAAAGCGCAUGCAGGUGGUUUGUUAAGUCAGAUGUGAAAGCCCGGGGCUCAACCUCGGAAUUGCAUUUGAAACUGGCAGACUAGAGUACUGUAGAGGGGGGUAGAAUUUCAGGUGUAGCGGUGAAAUGCGUAGAGAUCUGAAGGAAUACCGGUGGCGAAGGCGGCCCCCUGGACAGAUACUGACACUCAGAUGCGAAAGCGUGGGGAGCAAACAGGAUUAGAUACCCUGGUAGUCCACGCCGUAAACGAUGUCUACUUGGAGGUUGUGGCCUUGAGCCGUGGCUUUCGGAGCUAACGCGUUAAGUAGACCGCCUGGGGAGUACGGUCGCAAGAUUAAAACUCAAAUGAAUUGACGGGGGCCCGCACAAGCGGUGGAGCAUGUGGUUUAAUUCGAUGCAACGCGAAGAACCUUACCUACUCUUGACAUCCAGAGAACUUUCCAGAGAUGGAUUGGUGCCUUCGGGAACUCUGAGACAGGUGCUGCAUGGCUGUCGUCAGCUCGUGUUGUGAAAUGUUGGGUUAAGUCCCGCAACGAGCGCAACCCUUAUCCUUGUUUGCCAGCGAGUAAUGUCGGGAACUCCAGGGAGACUGCCGGUGAUAAACCGGAGGAAGGUGGGGACGACGUCAAGUCAUCAUGGCCCUUACGAGUAGGGCUACACACGUGCUACAAUGGCGCAUACAGAGAGAAGCGACCUCGCGAGAGCAAGCGGAUCCUCAUAAAGUGCGUCGUAGUCCGGAUUGGAGUCUGCAACUCGACUCCAUGAAGUCGGAAUCGCUAGUAAUCGUGGAUCAGAAUGCCACGGUGAAUACGUUCCCGGGCCUUGUACACACCGCCCGUCACACCAUGGGAGUGGGUUGCAAAAGAAGUAGGUAGCUUAACCUUCGGGAGGGCGCUUACCACUUUGUGAUUCAUGACUGGGGUGAAGUCGUAACAAGGUAACCGUAGGGGAACCUGCGGCUGGAACACCUCCAUGACUGGGGUGAAGUCGUAACAAGGUAGCGCUAGGGGAACCUGGGGCUGGAUCACCU
rnacentral:rRNA from 1 species